AGGCUUGAUUACAGCAAUUUGGAGGAUGUAUGCAAACCAAUUCCAGCUACUAAUUGAAGGAACUCUACUAAUUAGAAAAGGCUAUGGAACAAAUAACAAUUGGCAAGUCAUUGAGACACAGUGUUAGUCUGGUGGGUUACUUUGUGAGUGUGCUGCUUCUGAGCUGAGAAGGGCAGCUUUGAAUAUGGAAAUGAAGGAGAUUUUCCUGAUAAAACCAGUUCGGAUGCAAGGGACAGCUGAGUGCUCUUGCCCCUGCCAGUAGGACCAUGGCCAGGGCUCAUCUCACUGCGGGGCGACCAUCUGCUGCCACUUAACAGCACAGGAAACCACCACUGAACAAAAGCAUCCACUCCUAGAGCAUCCCACCUCCUGCAACAAAAUGGAGGCAUAAAGGCAGUGCUACUUUAUCACAUGUAAUGUACGGUGAAGAGAGGACAGCAAACACUUGUCAAAGGCAAUGCAAGAAGGCAGGAUCUGGCAACAGCAGCUGUCAA